rnacentral:rRNA from 1 species
GAUGAACGCUGGCGGCGUGCCUAAUACAUGCAAGUCGAGCGAACGGACGAGAAGCUUGCUUUUCUGAUGUUAGCGGCGGACGGGUGAGUAACACGUGGAUAACCUACCUAUAAGACUGGGAUAACUUCGGGAAACCGGAGCUAAUACCGGAUAAUAUUUUGAACCGCAUGGUUCAAAAGUGAAAGACGGUCUUGCUGUCACUUAUAGAUGUAUCCGCGCUGCAUUAGCUAGUUGGUAAGGUAACGGCUUACAAAGGCAACGAUGCAUAGCCGACCGGAGGGGGUGAUCGGCCACACUGGAACUGAGACACGGUCCAGACUCCUACGGGAAGCAGCAGUAGGGAAUCUUCCACAAUGGGCGAAAGCCUGACGGAGCAACGCCGCGUGAGUGAUGAAGGUCUUCGGAUCGUAAAACUCUGUUAUUAGGGAAGAACAUAUGUGUAAGUAACUGUGCACAUCUUGACGGUACCUAAUCAGAAAGCCACGGCUAACUACGUG